GCGGUUUUCUAGGUUGUCGUCAGCUCGUGUCGUGAGAUGUUGGGUUAAGUCCCGCAACGAGCGCAACCCUCACUCUUAGUUGCCAUCAGGUAAUGCUUGGGCACUCUGAGGGAACUGCCGGUGAUAAACCGGAGGAAGGUGGGGAUGACGUCAAGUCCUCAUGGCCUUUAUGCCCCGGGCUACACACGUGCUACAAUGGCCAAUACAAAGGGUAGCAAAAUCGUAAGAUCUAGCCAAUCCCAAAAAGUUGGUCUCAGUUCGGAUUGAAGUCUGCAACUCGACUUCAUGAAGUCGGAAUCGCUAGUAAUCGUGGAUCAGCACGCCACGGUGAAUACGUUCCCGGGCCUUGUACACACCGCCCGUCACACCACGAAAGUCGGUUGUACCAGAAGUCGCUUAAUUAACCCGCAAGGGAGAUGAGUGCCGAAGGUAUGAUCAGUAAUUGGGGUGAAGUCGUAACAAGGUAGCCGUA
rnacentral:rRNA from 1 species